GACCGGAGGGCGAGCGCGGCGUGCGCCACGGUGCGGACGGGUCAGCCGCAAGCAGCGAGCGCGCCUACGGGCCGAGCGGGGGUCCGCCACGGGCUCCUUACCCAUAGUAGCGGAAGGCAUUAAUGAUCUUCCAGAAAUGCUCGCGCUCGAGUCUCUCCUCCUCUUCCUCUGUGCUGCGCGUGGCCGCCGCCGCCGAAACCGCCGCGGCGGAGCCCAAACGCCCGGCGGAGAACUGCACUUCCACCUCCUCGCUCCCGCCGCCUCCUCCGCGGCUGCCGCCGCCUCCCCCGCAGCCCUCGGGCAGCUGAGAGACUGGCGGCGGAGGGCGCCGCCGUCGCUGCAUCGCCGCCGCGGCCCUCGGCCUGGCUCGCUUGCGUCUCGCCGCGACUGAAAGCGUGGUGGCGGCUGCUCGGCCCUCCUCUAGACGGCGCCCGCCGUGGACAUGCCCCCAGCUCGCGGCGCGCCCCGCCCCCGCCGCCCUCAGGCCUCCAUCAGCGCCUGGCUCCGCCAGGUCUUUCGAGCACCCGGAACGACCGCGCUUGCGCAUUCGAGAGUACGACGAAGGGCCGCAGCCACCUGCGCUCAUUUGUUGCCGGCCUUUGGCGACGGCGCGCUGAUGUCACAACAACGCGUGAAGUAGGCGGGGGCAAGGGCCAGAUGGGUGGGGCGAAGGAGGAGAUUCCUGGCAGGUUGGGGGUGGCACCUGCGAGCAGCCGCGUGGUUCGGGCUUGAGAGCCGCAAAUGUGUUGGUUGCCACCUAUGUCUCUUGCACUGAGCUAAAGGCAGCUAGAAGCUUGUGGAAACAUGGACUUCUCAUUUUCACUUUGCCAAUGAAAUUUAAAGACUUUAAGUAAUGCUAUCAAAGCAUGCAGCUCCUAUAUGGUAAAGCCCAGAUUUGAAAGCAAGUGGACAAAGCCCAAAAUACUAUUAACCACUGGAUCUACUGCCUCUAUUGAAGUUGAUCUUUUUUAUUCUUACAUCAGUUUCAUGAAGUCCUUUUACUUUUGGAAACCUUGCAAAUAAUUGUUAUUUACAGUAAUUUGACCUUCUAGGUGGGCGAGAAAAGGUUAUCUUGGUGGUGGUGGUUUAAAUUACCUAUGGUGGUGAAGAUGGGAGUACCGCAAUAUUUUCAGGCAAAAGGCCUAUAACAGUCAUCUAAAAGACCUGCUAGUACCAAGAAUUUGUGCUUUGUCUGAGCACCUCCUACAA